GACGAACGCUGGCGGCGUGCUUAACACAUGCAAGUCGAACGGAAAGGCCCUGCUUUUGUGGGGUGCUCGAGUGGCGAACGGGUGAGUAACACGUGAGUAACCUGCCCUUGACUUUGGGAUAACUUCAGGAAACUGGGGCUAAUACCGGAUAGGAGCUCCUGCUGCAUGGUGGGGGUUGGAAAGUUUCGGCGGUUGGGGAUGGACUCGCGGCUUAUCAGCUUGUUGGUGGGGUAGUGGCUUACCAAGGCUUUGACGGGUAGCCGGCCUGAGAGGGUGACCGGCCACAUUGGGACGGAGAUACGGCCCAGACUCCUACGGGAGGCAGCAGUGGGGAAUAUUGCACAAUGGGCGGAAGCCUGAUGCAGCAACGCCGCGUGCGGGAUGAGGGCCUUCGGGUUGGAAACCGCUUUCGCCUGUGACGAAGCGUGAGUGACGGUAAUGGGUAAAGAAGCACCGGCUAACUACGUG
rnacentral:rRNA from 1 species